rnacentral:rRNA from 1 species
UGGCGGACGGGUGAGUAAUGUCUGGGAAACUGCCCGAUGGAGGGGGAUAACUACUGGAAACGGUAGCUAAUACCGCAUAACGUCGCAAGACCAAAGAGGGGGGCCUUCGGGCCUCUUGCCAUCGGAUGUGCCCAGAUGGGAUUAGCUAGUAGGUGGGGUAAUGGCUCACCUAGGCGACGAUCCCUAGCUGGUCUGAGAGGAUGACCAGCCACACUGGAACUGAGACACGGUCCAG